UGGCUCGAGACGCCUCUUCCUCUCUCGAGAAGGCUCCAGCCGGCCGCCGCCCGCCGCUUAUCCCCACCGCCUCCGCACCACCGCCCAACAGAUCCCUAUAUAAGAAAGAGACCCAACUUCGCCUAUGCACAAGGACAGGGCACGAUCGCAGAGGGACGGCUCCGUCGAUCUGCCUCCAGGGGCGUACAUGGGAGGGGCUGCGUCGAGCCGCCGUGUCCAUCUCGCCGCCCAGCGCCUCAUCCCCUCCGGCCGCCCAGAUCCCCUCGCCAUCUUGCAGGUCCAGCCCAACCACGACACGGCCGAUGUCAAGCGGGCCUCGCUGUUAUGGCCAUCUUCGUGCCGUUGGGUCCUCCGCGCCGCCGAUGCCUAGGCCGACCCAACGUGCGCCGCCCGCACCCCGCGCUCGACGGCCGGGGCUCCGCCGCCCAUGAUAGUGAGCACGCUCCAGCCUGGCUCACCAUGCGCCAUCUUCCCUGACGGCUGAGGGUGGCCACCCCAUGACCUACCUGGCGGACGAGUUUGGGACGGGUCCAAGGUUCUUCGCCGAAGUCAAUGGCUUCACGAGCCCAACGACCAGAAGCAGGCAUCCAUCGAGGAAGGGCUCGAGCCGAGAGCGCUGCCUCCGUCGGUCUCUGGCUCCCUAGCCCGUUUCCGCUAUCCGGUGUCACUAUCUGAUCCUCGCAGGCCCUCUUCCCCUCCUCCGUUCCUUAACAAAAACAUUGUUGGUUAGUAAGUCUGCCGCGUGUACACGAGUACGAGCAAUGGAUGUUUGUGAAGGCUAUGAGAUACUGGAAAUCAAGGAGCUAAUUGUUUGGGUCACUUGACUGAAUUGUAACUGCACCAUUUGAGGCGAUUUUGCCCUGGUUUUGCUGGGUGGUGAGGUGGUUUAUGGGAGUUGCUGAGUUGGUGGAAGAUUGGGGCAUUUGCAUAUGGUUGGUACUGAGGAGGACUGUGCUGCUGGAGUGGGAAGCAGGAGAGCAACCGUUGGGAUCUUGGAUUUUUUUUCCCCGAGCAGAAUGUGGACUUACUACCUUUAUAUUGAAGAUUCAGCAGUUGGAAGCUGAUGUAACAUGUCAGAAGUUCUCCAUUCCUGCAUAAAUGGACUGCAUCAUCAACCUGCACUGUUAAGGUCAUGCUUAAUUGCUUAUAGACGAUCUAGGUUCAGAUUGUGAAGUAGGAACAUCGAAUUGUGAAUUUACUUAAAACAAUACCAUGUAUUCUUGACACUUCCUCUGAUUCUUCACGUGAAGUUGAAGAGAAGGAAAGAGAACACUUAUUCAUUCAGGAAAAACUGGAUAUGGAGCUGCAAGAUCUAAAUGAAGGACUUCGGGAUGGUACUAUUGUAAUUGUUCAUAUGCGAAUUUACAACUUGUCUGGCUAGACCUAUGUUCUGAAUAAUCUUCAUUCCUCCAUCCAUUGUAACUUCAUGUUCAAAGCUAACCAACCACAACUGACAUAUAUGAUUCUAAUAGUCAAAAUUGUGCUCUGUUAUUGUGUCUCUUUGUUCCAUCUGGAAAUUUAAUUAUACCCUUUCAAAUUUAAAUUACUGAACGCGGAGACGGAAGUUAAACGAGAUGGGACAAGAAAAGAAGGCUUUUCAGGUUUUACUUGCUUAAAUUUUCUGAUUCAUUAAUUUUUAAGAAACAUAAUUGCAUAAGUAAGCAGAUUUACUUGCUAUCCAUUGGAAUAAAAAAAUUGAGCGGAGAUAUGAUUUUACUGUUCAUGUUCUUUCUUUUCUAUUUGUAUAGAGGUUCAUGCUCGCUCAAAUAUAUCAUGUUGUGGGACUGUCUGAUCCAUGCAUACUUUUUCCUUUCAGUUUGUUUUAUUGAUAGGCAACAUCGUAUUUUUUUAAUCAAAAAUCUCUAUGGGGUUGGUGGGACGAGGAUCCUCUACCGUGCCGCUGGGCCCAGCGGCACUCUGCCGUGCCUUCUUACCCAGCGUACGCAUUGGUAUUGGGCCUAUCAGCCUAUGGGUCAGAAAUUAGAACUAACCAGCCCAGCCGUUCAUGGUUCAUCUAUGCACAGUUUAACUAGAGUAAUUACCUACUUAUUAUUGGGAAUAAAAAGUUAAAUUUUAAUUAGCAAUACACAUGAGCAACAUUCUUAAAUGAAAAUGAACUCGUAUUAGAAAAUUGGUUUUGCUAAAUCUCAGUCAUAUUCUACGCGGAGCGAUUUUUAAUAUUUAAUAUUUUUAUUUCUCCUUUUUUUUGAUUUGUUAUUGUUUAAUCAGUUUGAUUAGUAUUUUUUUUGUCUUUUUUGCGUGCCAAUUGUGUAAUUGGAGUUGCAUACUCGUCGACCAGUUGCACACCAGAUGCAUGCCCGUCACUGCCCUUAUGAGCACCUAUGAGAGACACGUGAACACAUCUACGCCCGCCCAACUGACGUGCACCUGUAAUUACGUGCGAUCCAUGGACAUGUAACUGCGGCUGCAUGAAUCCCCGGAUAUGGAUUUUGGUCAACCGGAUUUUCGACGGAUAUGGUAGCGGAUACGGUAUCGAUAAUAUCCGACGGAUGUGGAUUAUCCGGGCUUUUUGCAAAUUAUCUAAGGUUAUCAAAUAGGAUUAUCCGAUAAAUUUAGCCCAAACAACAAGUAGCAAUCUAUUUUUUGGUAGGCCGCUCCGCGAGCAAGGAGCACCGCAAGGAGAAACAAAAAGGCACAAAAAAUAAAAAUAAAAGGACCGAUCCAAAUGAUAAAACAAUAAUAAGUAAUAAAAAUUAGGAAAAGGAAAUAUAUAAAAUACAAAAUUCGCUCCGCAUAAUAUAUGACUGAGAUACAAAAUUGGUGUUUUUAAGAUAAUAAUAUUUUUGGGGAAAAUAAUAAUACUUAAUUACUUCUUCAAAAAAGUAAUAGUUAAUUAGUUAAUAUGUAGGGGUGUGAUGCAUUAGGUUUUUCUUUUGAGCGGUGUGUGAUGUAUCAGGUUUGCUGGCUGGUUGGAUUCUGGCCCAUAUCUUCUUUUUUUAGGGAUAUUCUGGCCCAUACCAGUGCGUACCCCUGGGUAGGAAGAAGGCACGGCAGAGUACCGUGCCGUUGGGCACGGUAGAGGAGCCGGAUCCGGGUUGGUGAAUCUGCGUUCAUUGGAUGAUCUCUUCUUUAAUAUAAUAAGAAUGGUCCUUUCUUAGAAUAGCAAGACAGAAUCUGGUUAGGUUGGGUGUGAAAUCACCCGACAUGGAAUGCACUCUAUACAUCAAUUAUCUACUUCCAUUUUCAAUGGCAUGAAGUCUGCCAUUAACAUACAUUUUUGUUAACAUAUGUUUUAGUAAAUGCGGGAAGCACCACUGGGUAUAGAACAACCACACCCUUGAUAAUUAACUUUGUCAUUUGUUUCAGACUACAGAAGUUACAAAUAAUGUUACCCAUAGGUUUUGUAAUGUUCAAGUUAAGAUUCUGACGGGGGAUAAUUACCAUUCAUCUUCAAAUGUAUAUUCUGAAACAGUUCUUCAGCUCGAACACUAAGGAAGGCUAUUUCAGUUUUCACAACUUCUCCCAAGUUGGACAAUGAAUUUCUAUUUCUACUGCCAGUACUUAUGUUUUCACUAUACCUACAGGCUGCACGCAAGUCUGAAUAAGGAUGAACUAGAUGAUUAAGGCAUUUUUCUAUUAUAUAUAAUCAUAUAUUUCUAAAAUAAAUCCCAGUUUAUAUGAAAUGCUAAUGAGAUCUUGUACUGUAAAUACAUUCUAAAAUCUCUGGGGCUUCCUUUGGAGUUUUGUUAGUACUUUCUAUGGAAAAAUCAUUAACAGUUCUAUCCAGUGAAAUGCUGGCCCUUUUCAUUCCAAAAACCGCACAACUAUAAACUCAAACUAUGCUGCUUAGUUGUGCUAUAAUAUGCUAACUCUGAACAAUUGAUUUGCAAUCAAUUAGCACCAGACGCCAUGUUCUUCAUUUUCGUCAGCCAAAAUGCAGAAGAUUGAAUUGCCCUUCUCGGCAUCCUGCCCUGCCUCCUCUUCCACUUGAAGCUCCUCUGCAGCCAUGGUGAUGGCGGUGCGCCUCUGUUACUGCAAAACCGCCUACCUCGAGAUCGAACUACAACCACGGCAUCAGAUGGUUCCACGUGUGCUUUUGUUUGCCCUAUAGUUAAAUCAAGUGUGCUCUCUUUUGCCGGCCACUAAGAACCAGCUGGAGUGAUGGCGGCCACGAUGACAUGGUGUUUUUCUCCAUUAAAAGCAAUAUUACGAAGGAACAUGAAGAUGAAGCGGUGGACUGCCUUUGCAAAUAUAGAAAAAUAUCAAUUGUGUUCUGUAUCCAUCAAUAUUAUUUAGAGCACUCAUCAGAAAGUCAGGAUCUAGCAGUUCAGUAGUAGUUAUGAGUUUGGGCCCCUUGUAAGAAUAUAACUUUUUGAUAAAUUUAGUAGUGACAUGCCAGAUGCCAUACUAAAGGUAUUCUUCAAGAAUCAAGAGGAUAUAUAUGCUGAAGAUCUCAUAUGUUAAGCGUGUUGAUACAUGCUUACAUCUGUCAAAGUGGAAAUUCAAGGAAGAGACGCAAUGUAUAUAACCACACCGUAUCGAUUCUUACCAGGAUCAUAUAUAGAUGUCGUCCUCGAAA